rnacentral:rRNA from 1 species
AUACGUAGGGGGCGAGCGUUGUCCGGAAUGAUUGGGCGUAAAGGGCGCGUAGGCGGCCCGUUAAGUCUGAAGUGAAAGUCCUGGUUUUAAGCUGGGAAUUGCUUUGGAUACUGACGGGCUUGAGUGCAGGAGAGGUAAGUGGAAUUCCCAGUGUAGCGGUGAAAUGCGUAGAGAUUGGGAGGAACACCAGUGGCGAAGGCGACUUACUGGACUGUAACUGACGCUGAGGCGCGAAAGUGUGGGGAGCAAACAGGAUUAGAUACCCUGGUAGUCCACACUGUAAACGAUGAAUGCUAGGUGUAGGGGGUAUCGACCCCUUCUGUGCCGCAGUAAACACAAUAAGCAUUCCGCCUGGGGAGUACGGCCGCAAGGUUGAAACUCAAAUGAAUUGACGGGG